rnacentral:lncRNA from 1 species
GCGCUACUUUUUCCUUAUUCGUUACUUUUCUCUUAUUCGUUACUUUUCUCUUAUUCGUUACUUAUUCCUUAUUCGUUACUUAUUCCUUAUUCGUUACUUAUUCCUUAUUCCUUAUUAGUUAUCUAUUCGUUACUUAUUCCUUAUUCCUUAUUCGUUACUUAUUCGAUUUUUAAUAUCUUUCUCCCUUUUUAAUUCUUUGUAUUCUUAUAUCUGGUAAUAGUUUUUAUUUUGUUGAGGUGAUAGUACCCUUUAAACACGUUAAUAUGUAUUCGUUUUUUAUGCUCAACCUAUCCUGUUAUUUGGGUUUUUUUUCGUUCAACCUUUUAACUGCUUUAUUUUCGUAUAUCUGUAGUUGGUUCUUGGUUCGAAGAGGGG